UGAAAGCCCCCGGCUCAACCGGGGAGGGUCAUUGGAAACUGGGGAACUUGAGUGCAGAAGAGGAGAGUGGAAUUCCACGUGUAGCGGUGAAAUGCGUAGAGAUGUGGAGGAACACCAGUGGCGAAGGCGACUCUCUGGUCUGUAACUGACGCUGAGGAGCGAAAGCGUGGGGAGCGAACAGGAUUAGAUACCCUGGUAGUCCACGCCGUAAACGAUGAGUGCUAAGUGUUAGGGGGUUUCCGCCCCUUAGUGCUGCAGCUAACGCAUUAAGCACUCCGCCUGGGGAGUACGGUCGCAAGACUGAAACUCAAAGGAAUUGACGGGGGNCCGCACAAGCGGUGGAGCAUGUGGUUUAAUUCGAAGCAACGCGAACAACCUUACCAGGUCUUGACAUCC
rnacentral:rRNA from 2 species